UACGGAGGGGGCUAGCGUUGUUCGGAAUUACUGGGCGUAAAGCGCACGUAGGCGGCUUUGUAAGUUAGAGGUGAAAGCCCGGGGCUCAACUCCGGAAUUGCCUUUAAGACUGCAUCGCUAGAAUUGUGGAGAGGUAAGUGGAAUUCCGAGUGUAGAGGUGAAAUGCGUAGAGAUCUGGAGGAACACCCGUGGCGAAGGCGGCUCCCUGGUCCGAUUCUGACGCUGAGACGCGAAAGCGCGGGGAGCGAACGGG
rnacentral:rRNA from 1 species